UGAAAAUAAUACAAAUAGUAAACCUAUACAAAUUUCGCAUAUCCUAUUUAGUAAUCUGUGGUAGUAUCUGUUUCCCUAACUUGACAUUGGCGUCAUUGGCGAAUGGCUGAACAGCCAAGCCAGUUAAAAAAAAAAAGACUGUGGUAAUCUGUGGCAUCACAUCCAUAACCGCUUUCUAAGUUUUUGAUAAAGUUUGUUUUGUUAUAAAGACUAAGAAGCUUUUUGUUUGUUAAUUACGUUUUUAACAAUGCCACCAACCAAACGUACAAAUUUAGGCCGCAGAACUCAAAAUACGGCAAGUCAAAGAAAUCUACGAGCAAAUCAAACUGAUGAGCAACGCGAAGCGCGAAAUGAACUUCAACGGAAUCGAAAUCAACAUAGAAAUGUUGUGUUUAAUCCCCACAGAGCUGCAUUCAGUUAUAAUAGGAUAUGCGAAAUUUGUAUAGGUUUACUAUUUGUAUUAUUUUCAAAAAAUUAUAAAAUGUGAAAGUUGAAA